rnacentral:misc_RNA from 1 species
GAUGAAGAACGCAGCGAAAUGCGAUAAGUAGUGUGAAUUGCAGAAUUCAGUGAAUCAUCGAAUCUUUGAACGCACAUUGCGCCCCCUGGUAUUCCAUGGGGCAUGCCUGUUCGAGCGUCAUUUGUACCUUCAAGCUCUGCUUGGUGUUGGGUGUUUGUCUCGCCUCUGCGUGUAGACUCGCCUCAAAACAAUUGGCAGCCGGCGUAUUGAUUUCGGAGCGCAGUACAUCUCGCGCUUUGCACUCAUAACGACGACGUCCAAAAGUACAUUUUUACACUCUUGACCUCGGAUCAGGUAGGGAUACCCGCUGAACUUAAGCAUAUCAAUAAGCGGAGGA